rnacentral:rRNA from 1 species
AACGUAGGAGACAAACGUUAUCCGGAGUUACUGGGCGUAAAGGGCGUGUAGGUGGUUUCGUAAGUCUGGCGUGAAAUAUCUCGGCUUAACCGAGGCAGGUCGUCGGAUACUGCGGAACUAGAGGACGGUAGAGGCGUGUGGAAUUCCGGGUGUAGUGGUGAAAUGCGUAGAGAUCCGGAGGAACACCGAUGGCGAAGGCAGGUCUCUGGGCAUUAACUGACGCUGAGGAGCGAAAGCAUGGGGAGCGAACAGG